rnacentral:tRNA from 1 species
GCCUGAUUGGCUCAGCGGUAGAGCAUCUGCCUUUGGCUCAGGGCGUGAUCCCAGAAUGCCUGGAUCAAGUCCAGCAUCGGGCC